rnacentral:rRNA from 1 species
GAUGAACGCUGGCGGCGUGCUUAACACAUGCAAGUCGAACGAUGAAGCCCAGCUUGCUGGGUGGAUUAGUGGCGAACGGGUGAGUAACACGUGAGUAACCUGCCCUUAACUCUGGGAUAAGCCUGGGAAACUGGGUCUAAUACCGGAUAGGAGCGUCCACCGCAUGGUGGGUGUUGGAAAGAUUUAUCGGUUUUGGAUGGACUCGCGGCCUAUCAGCUUGUUGGUGAGGUAAUGGCUCACCAAGGCGACGACGGGUAGCCGGCCUGAGAGGGUGACCGGCCACACUGGGACUGAGACACGGCCCAGACUCCUACGGGAGGCAGCAGUGGGGAAUAUUGCACAAGGGGCGCAAGCCUGAUGCAGCGACGCCGCGUGGGGGAUGACGGCCUUCGGGUUGUAAACCUCUUUCAGUAGGGAAGAAGCGAAAGUGACGGUACCUGCAGAGAAGCACCGGCUAACUACGUG